rnacentral:rRNA from 1 species
UGGGGAAUUUUGGACAAUGGGGGAAACCCUGAUCCAGCCAUUCCGCGUGAGUGAAGAAGGCCUUCGGGUUGUAAAGCUCUUUUGUCCGGAACGAAAAGGCUACGUUUAAUACGCGUGGCUCAUGACGGUACCGGAAGAAUAAGCACCGGCUAACUACGUGCCAGCAGCCGCGGUAAUACGUAGGGUGCGAGCGUUAAUCGGAAUUACUGGGCGUAAAGCGUGCGCAGGCGGUUUUGUAAGCCAGAUGUGAAAGCCCCGGGCUCAACCUGGGAAUGGCAUUUGGGACUGCAAGGCUGGAGUUUGGCAGAGGAGACUGGAAUUCCUGGUGUAGCAGUGAAAUGCGUAGAUAUCAGGAGGAAUACCGAUGGCGAAGGCAGGUCUCUGGGCUAUAACUGACGCUCAUGCACGAAAGCGUGGGGAGCAAACAG